UGUAAGACAUAACUUGCUCCUCCUUGCCUUCUGCCAUGAUUGUGAGGCUUCCCCAGCCACAUGGAACUAUAUGGAGCACAGAGAAGAUGGUGUCCUUUCUCAUGUCUCUCCUUGAAGCCCUCCGGCCAGCCCCUUCCCUUCGGUGAAACUCAGUGUGGAUCUGUGAGAAGAGAGAAACCUGAGAUUCCAACCCAGCCUUUUGUUUGCCUGGGAUUAUAGCCCAGUUCUUACAAGCAGAGAAGCCUAGGACACUAACCCAGCUUCGAGAGUGUACUCCGAAUCUCAAGAAUCACAAUCUGUGCUGCCCAUUCUUCAAUAGACUGUCAUCUGGAGCCCUGGAUUGGAUCAGGAGUCGGGCUUACCAGUGGAGCCCCAAUCAGUCAGUCAGAAGUGAAGAUGAAAGCGUCAAAGGCAUUGAUGACUCACUUCUCACUUGAGUCCAGACCCAUCUGGAUUGCCUGCAAAAAGGUCUUGGCAGUGACCUGAAAACAUAUGUAAAUUACCCAACCGACUCUAACCAGGACCUGCUGUCUGGUAAUUCAUCCCCGUGUUCCAGACUUGUCCAACAAGUACCCAAGCAACUUUGAGUUCCAUCCUGCAACUCUCAGUCAGGCUCAAGAAAAGCCCCAAUUUUAUCUGGGCAUGGUGACACAUGACUGGAAUCCCACCUACUCGGGAGGCUGAGGCGGUUGAAUCGCUUGAACCCAGGAGGCGAAGGCUGCAGUGAGCCGAGAUCAUGCCACUGCACUCCCGCCUGGGCAACAGAGCGAGACUGUCUCAAAAAAAAAUUAAAAUUAAUUUUUUUUAAA